UGGGGAAUCUUGCGCAAUGGCCGAAAGGCUGACGCAGCGACGCCGCGUGUGGGAUGACGGUCUUCGGAUUGUAAACCACUGUCGGGAGGGACGAAGUUCUGACGGUACCUCCAAAGGAAGCACUGGCUAACUCUGUGCCAGCAGCCGCGGUAAUACAGAGGGUGCGAGCGUUGUCCGGAAUCACUGGGCGUAAAGGGCGCGUAGGCGGCCUGGUAAGUCGGGGGUGAAACGCUGCGGCUCAACCGCAGCACUGCCUUCGAGACUGUCAGGCUGGAGCACGGUAGAGGCUGGUGGAAUUCCCGGUGUAGCGGUGGAAUGCGUAGAGAGCGGGAAGAACAUCGGUGGCGAAGGCGGCCAGCUGGGCCGUUGCUGACGCUGAGGCGCGACAGCGUGGGGAGCAAACA
rnacentral:rRNA from 1 species